UGAAAGCACUACGGGAGCUCGCGGAGGCGAGCUGAGAGGUCCCGGUAAUCGCGGGACGACCGUCGAACCUGAUCUGGAUAAUACCAGCGAAGGGAGAACCCGGGAAAUGCGU
rnacentral:ncRNA from 2 species